AUGAACGCUAGCGGCGUGCCUAAUACAUGCAAGUCGAGCGAACGGACGAGAAGCUUGCUUCUCUGAUGUUAGCGGCGGACGGGUGAGUAACACGUGGAUAACCUACCUAUAAGACUGGGAUAACUUCGGGAAACCGUAGCUAAUACCGGAUAAUAUUUUGAACCGCAUGGUUCAAAAGUGAAAGACGGUCUUGCUGUCACUUAUAGAUGGAUCCGCGCUGCAUUAGCUAGUUGGUAAGGUAACGGCUUACCAAGGCAACGAUGCAUAGCCGACCUGAGAGGGUGAUCGGCCACACUGGAACUGAGACACGGUCCAGACUCCUACGGGAGGCAGCAGUAGGGAAUCUUCCGCAAUGGGCGAAAGCCUGACGGAGCAACGCCGCGUGAGUGAUGAAGGUCUUCGGAUCGUAAAACUCUGUUAUUAGGGAAGAACAUAUGUGUAAGUAACUGUGCACAUCUUGACGGUACCUAAUCAGAAAGCCACGGCUAACUACGUG
rnacentral:rRNA from 1 species